CGUCUGUUUAGAUGUGGACUGCUUUUGAGAUUUAGAAGGCUGAUUGGGAUGUGUGCUUACAUUGUAAUUCAAUGAUGUAAACGUUUAUGUUCAUAGGGUGGUAGAGCGGAUAAUGCAUCGAGAAUCAUGCAAAUCACACAAUCUUUCAACAUCUUAUAUAUGAUUCUCGAUGCAUUAUCCGCUCUUAGGUGUGAAUCAGCCAUUUUCAAGGUAUGUCCCGUUAUGUGAAGGAUAUGCCAUCCUUUGAUCAACUGUACCCAGAUUGAUCGAAAAAUUGAUCUGGAAAAGGUCAUGUACUGCAAAAGGUCUAUUUAGAAAUCUAUGAAUGUCCCA
rnacentral:misc_RNA from 1 species